CCUACGGGUGGCAGCAGUGAGGAAUAUUGGUCAAUGGCCGGAAGGCUGAACCAGCCAUGCCGCGUGAAGGUCAGUGCCCUAUGGGCGUUAAACUUCUUUUGUGCGGGAGCAAUAAUGGUCACGUGUGGCCAGACGAGAGUACCGUACGAAUAAGCAUCGGCUAACUCCGUGCCAGCAGCCGCGGUAAUACGGGGGAUGCAAGCGUUAUCCGGAAUUAUUGGGUUUAAAGGGUGCGUAGGCUGGGAGUUAAGUCAGCGGUGAAAUGCCCCCGCUCAACGGGGUGAAGUGCCAUUGAUACUGCCUGGCUGGAGUGCGGAUGUCGUGGGAGGAAUGUGUGGUGUAGCGGUGAAAUGCAUAGAUAUCACACAGAACACCGAUUGCGAAGGCAUCUCACGAAUCCGCGAUUGACGCUGAUGCACGAAAGCGUGGGUAUCAAACAGGAUUAGAUACCCCGGUAGUC
rnacentral:rRNA from 1 species